UACGUAGGUGGCAAGCGUUGUCCGGAUUUACUGGGCGUAAAGAGCGCGCAGGCGGUCGUUCAAGUCGCGUGUGAAAGCCCCCGGCUCAACUGGGGAGGGUCACGCGAUACUGAUCGACUCGAAGGCAGGAGAGGGUAGUGGAAUUCCCGGUGUAGUGGUGAAAUGCGUAGAUAUCAGGAGGAACACCGGUGGCGAAGGCGGUUCUCUGGGCAUUACCUGACGCUGAGGAGCGAAAGUGUGGGGAGCGAACAGG
rnacentral:rRNA from 1 species